CCCUUAGAUGUUCUGGGCCGCACGCGCGCUACACUGAUGCAUUCAACGAGUCUAAAACCUGCUCUGAUAGGGGUGGGUAAUCUUUUGAAUGUGCAUCGUGAUUGGGAUAGAUGAUUGCAAUUUUUCAUCUUCAACGAGGAAUGCCUAGUAAACGCAAGUCAUCAGCUUGCAUUGAUUACGUCCCUGCCCUUUGUACACACCGCCCGUCGCUCUUACCGAUUGAAUGAUCCGAUGAAUAUCAUGGAUUGAGGAUGCAAGUAGGUUCGCCUAUCUUCAUCUUCGAGAAGUGAAGUAAAUCUUAUCAUUUAGAGGAAGGAGAAGUCGUAACA
rnacentral:rRNA from 1 species